rnacentral:rRNA from 1 species
CCGCCAGGGGAUUACGAGCAAUGCUUAAAACCCAAAGGAUUUGACGGUGUCCCACCCCACUAGAGGAGCCUGUUCUAUAAUCGAUGAUCCCCGCUUCACCUAACCCCCCCUCGCCCAUCAGUCUGUAUACCUCCGUCGAAAGCUUACCAUGUGAACGUCCGCAGUAGGCUCAGUGAUUUACCAUCAACACGUCAGGUCAAGGUGCAGCUCAAGGGAGGGGAAGUAAUGGGCUACAAUUUCUAACUUAGAACAAACGAAAGACUAUGUGAAACCCUAGUCACGAAGGUGGAUUUAGCAGUAAAAAGAAACCAGAGUGUUCUUUUUAACCCGGCUCUGGGACGCGUACACACCGCCCGUCACCCUCUUCGAUAGUACCCUAUCUGUUCGUAACCCAAUUCCACGUCUUAGAAGAGGCAAGUCGUAACAUGGUAAGUGUACUGGAAAGUGCACUUGGUAUACUA